ensembl:lncRNA
CCUUUCUCUAUCACCAGGUAAUUGGAAGCAGAAAAAAACCAGUCCCUGACCCCUGCUCUGCUUUAAGCUCCUUGUCACUGCUCAUAGCAGCCCUGUUCUGUUCUCCCCAACGCCGCCACCCAAAUCCUGUUCCCCUGGGAGAAGAAACCCUACCCCCACCCGCCCCUUUCAGCUCUGCCGCCAGGAGACUGGCUUGUCUUGGGGAAGUCACAGGUUUCAUUUUGUCACUUAGAAGCUGUUCCAGCCAGGAAGGGAGCCCAAGUUGACUUGAAGCCAGACCCUUAAUUGGAUUGGGUUCCUAGGGAGGCCAUUAGCUCUCUCUGCAGCUCUGGAGAGAGGAAGCACUUCCUCCCCCACCCGGCUGCACCCCUACUCAUUGCAGCUGAAUCCUGGAUGGCCUUCCACCCAAAUAAGCCUGGACAAUCAGUUCCUCACAUCGCAGCCUGCAAGCAGAAGGGGCAUAAAGCCAUUUGAAACUCAACAGCAAAUGUAUUCUUUCCCAGAUGGCAAGAGCCCUUCACUUCCCAAGGAAUAAAGGCUCUCUCCAGUUCAGAGGUGCCCUGGGACCCCAGCAGCCUGCAGAGCCCCUGCAAUUCAGGAAUCAGAAGCAGCUGUGCCGGUCUGAUGUCUUCCCAGCUGCACUCCAUGCUCCCGACAGCAAACCCACACACACACACACACACACACACACACACACACACACACACCCCGUCUCCCUCCCUGGCUGUGUGACACUUGGGAGCUGGGUUGGGCUGGUUGGUUUGCUUCCUGUGUGAGGCGUCUGCACUCCUGGAGCCAAGCUUCCUAUCGCAUGUCCGUAUUUGGAGCUCGCCUGCCUGCCUUCCUGCAGAACACCGUGUACUGCUGCCUCUGCCCGGCCUCGUUCCACAACACACCAGGAACAGCCUGUGGCAGAAGAACACGCCCCUUGUCCCAGCUGAUCCCUCCCAGACGCGGUCAGAGCCCUGACAAGUGAACCCCCUGCACUUAUCUGCUGCUGCCAUCUGCUUCUGGCCUCUGGGUUUGGAGGUGUGGUUCUGGAAGGAUUCCUUUCUUCUGGUGAGCCAGCAGCCUAUGUCCUUCAGCCGCUGGGUCCACUCCUGGACUGAGAAGGGUGUGUCUGAGCGGCAUGGCCCUGAGUGUUACUAACAGGGAUGGCUUUUCACAGCAUAAGGCUAGAAGACCAGGCUGAGAGAAGCACAUCCCAGGACCUGCAGGAGGGAGAGUGACCAAGGUCAAGGGGUAAGAGCAGAGCAACACAGGCGAUCAGAAGUGACCCGAGAGAUCCAGCAGGAAGGGAAUAUUUAUGUGACCUGGAAGUGUCCCUGCAGAGUGCCCCUUCCUUACUUGCAAGAGAGCAAAUUCUACCUUCUGGAGUGGAAAAAACUGAUGGACCCUAAGCAGGUGAUCAAAUCUAACAUCAGCUUCUUCAGGCUACAGACACCUAGUUCUUCUGCAAAUGACUGAGGCACACAGUGUCACUCUUGUAACAUUCCAGCUCAGAGGGAGGUCAGCGCCCAUUGUGAGCCAGAGGAGAACAGGACACACCCCACUGAAUGCAACACCAUGAGGAACUCCAGGACAGAGACGGGCCUGCAACAAAUUGUUCUGCAGCUCAACGUGGCUCACACCGGCAAUCCCAGGGCUUGAAAGGCUGAGGCAAUUGAGGGGUUCAAGACCAGUUUGUGCUACAUAGUGAAUCUGAGAUCAUCCCUCACAAACAAACAACAGACAAACAAACGAAAGAUCCUGCCAGGCAUGGUUGCUGAGGAAACUGCCAGACUCUAUUUUGAAGGCAGGAACUAUUAUGCUGUAUUUUGAAAAAUAAAGUUCUAUUUAUUGUGAGAGCUGAGUUGCUCUCUGUUUCCCGGAAACUGACCUUCCCCAACCCAUGACCUUGGCUUGUUUGUGAGAAUACCCUUACCCUUCCUGACCCUCCCUAGUCACAUGGUGACCACAUGAUUUUUUGAAAAGAUUUUUG